GUGGGGGGUUGCUGUGCUCGUGCUCUCUCUGUAAAGCGUUCCCCCGGAGAGAGCAAAAGCCCUAAAAUCUCACAGCAGGAGGAACCAUGUGCUGCAUAUCUGCAUGUUUGACCCAGCAUGAAAGUACUGCCAGGCAGACUGUGCUUUGGCCUCAGAUGGCUGGCUGCCUGGCCUGGGCUUUUUCAGUCUGUAGGAGCAUUCUGCAAAGCAGAGAAAAGAAGCAGAGGAUGAAAAGAAAGCUGACUACCUGGGCUGCUGCUGGGAUGGGACAUGCUAGAGCUUCUCAGAAGGCCAUUCUAUGAUUCAAUGCAAUGCACCUGAGUGACCCAGAUGUCGUUUAAGGGUUGGCAGUGGAAGCAAGAGCGUCUCUUGCAAGAGAUCCUUGCCUACCUGAAGUCUUCCAAAGGUAGUAAUUCAGCUGCCCAGGGGCACCUACCACGGCAGCCUGUUUGUUGCUGGGGCACCUCUUAUGCUGGGCUCCAGGCUUGGUCCUGUCUGGGCUUUGCUGCAGUGCUUCCCCACACUGAAAGGCAGCACAGGAUGCCUGUUUCUAAUGACCUCUUCCUCGUGGCCCAGAAUUCAGAGCAACGGUGCGUGCAGGAAGGAAGGAGUCAUUCCCAGCUCAGUGAUUCGCAGCAUCCGUGACCACUGAGACCUGACCAGGAGCACACGUCACAACCAGGCCCACAGCUCUGGGUUUGCCUGGAAAAUCUUGAGGCAGGAG
rnacentral:lncRNA from 1 species